UCCGGCUUAACGCCGGCAGUCUCCCUAGAGUGCCCAACUUAAGGGUGGCAACUAAGGGCGAGGGUUGCGCUCGUUGCGGGACUUAACCCAACAUCUCACGACACGAGCUGACGACAGCCAUGCAGCACCUGUCACCGGUCCAGCCGAACUGAAGGUUCCCAUCUCUGGAAACCGCGACCGGGAUGUCAAGGGCUGGUAAGGUUCUGCGCGUUGCUUCGAAUUAAACCACAUAAUCCACCGCUUGUGCGGGUCCCCGUCAAUUCCUUUGAGUUUUAACCUUGCGGCCGUACUCCCCAGGCGGUCAACUUCACGCGUUAGCUUCGUUACCAAGGAAUUGCUUCCCCGACAACCAGUUGACAUCGUUUAGGGCGUGGACUAC
rnacentral:misc_RNA from 1 species